GCGGAGGGAUCAUUACUGAGUUUACGCUCUAUAACCCUUUGUGAA
rnacentral:rRNA from 1 species